CCUACGGGAGGCUGCAGUGGGGAAUAUUGCACAAUGGGGGAAACCCUGAUGCAGCGACGCCGCGUGAGUGAAGAAGUAAUUCGUUACGUAAAGCUCUAUCAGCAGGGAAGAAACACUGACCUUACGGUCAGCAGACGGUACCUGAGUAAGAAGCGCCUGCUAACUACGUGCCAGCAGCCGCGGUAAUACGUAGGGGACAAGCGUGAUCCGGAUUUACUGGGUGUAAAGGUAGCGUAGACGGUGUGGCAAGUCUGGAGUGAAAUGCGGCGGCUUAACUGCGGAACUGCAUUGGAAACUGGCGAACUAGAGUGCAGGAGGGGUAAGCGGAAUUCCUAGUGUAGCGGUGAAAUGCGUAGAUAUUAGGAGGAACACCGGUGGCGAAGGCGGCUUACUGGACCGUAACUGACGUUGAGGCUCGAAAGCGUGGGGAGCAAACAGGAUUAGAUACCCUAGUAGUC
rnacentral:rRNA from 1 species